rnacentral:lncRNA from 1 species
GAAAAUUUGUACUCUUUAUAUGAGAUUAGGAAAAUUAGAAGUUGAGAAAAUAUAUACAUUUUUUACAUGGAUGUUUUAAUAAAAUAAUAGUAUAUGUAUUUAUUUUAUAUGGUACCGUAUGACCGUGAUAGUAAAGUGUAUAAAGUGUGUUAAAAGUGAGUAGUAUUUUAAGUAAUUUGAGGUAAUUCUUAAUUAUGUAGAUAAUUGAUUAACUGACGGGAUAAUUAUAAUUAAGUAGAUAAAGAUCCUUUUUGGGGAUGCUACUUGGCAUCAAUCUAAGCCAAAAUGGCACUAAUAGGCUUGAUGAGUCAUAAGGCAUAAAAUGACUUGUUUACACGUACAAAGUUUUGGAUAAACAAGUACCAAUUCAUGGACUGAAAAACUAGUCUGAGCCAUUUUGGUCUCUUUACUGAUAAGUAACGUGAGGUUUAUAAAAAUCUUCAUCAAUUAAUAAGAAUAGGAAUAGAAACGUUAUCCAAGAGUUUCUUAUCCAAAUUACAUUAGAAACGUCAUUUUGGGGAUGGAAAGGUUUCGGCCAAGAUUUUCUUUGAGCAGUGUGAUUGCGUUGAGCUUUUUAUAUGACUUGUUCCAUGUUUCGGCAAUUAACGUGUGUUAGAGGGAUUAUCAAGAGAAUCGACUCAGCUAUGUUAAGGUUAUUCCAUUUUUCUUUUGGCAUGAUAUAUACGACACAAACAAAACGAGCAAAUGCACAAUUUCCAUAAAUGACUCUAUUCGUAGAAAUGCUAGGGAUGCUUAUAUUCUUCAUUCUCCAUAUGUUUUAUUAUUCUAUCGUCUGUUCAUGGGUCCCAGCAAAUAUAUAAGUUGAUAAAAGUUAUUUCGUGAUAUUAAUCAGGGGCAUAAUGGUCUUAUCAGGGGUGUUUUUGUUUUUUUUUUGUUUUUUCCUUUUGGAGGCCAAUUCACUCACCAAUAUAAGAAGUUAAAACUUUCUAAAUCACUCAAUUACCAGUAAGUGUCUGAAAAGAAUUAGGAGUAUCACAUAAAGAUUGUUUAGUAUGAUUUCUUCCUUUUUUGCUCCUUUUUCCCCAUAAAUCUUCAGUUGUUCACAUGGUUUACCUUUGUGUACGCCUCCAAUAAAGUUUUAAAAUUUCCGAAGGUGCAGCAAAGCAUUAUAUAGUAUGAGAAACCUGAGAAUCUAAGAGCAACAAAUUUGUACAAGUAAACUUACUCUCUAAAUAUAUUGAGUUUCUAGCCUCAUUUGCUACACUAAUCGAAGAGUUGCAUCUGUUUUCCACACGUCUGUCCAUGAUUGCAUCCAUUUUUAGCAGAUAUUAGCCUUCUUCUUGUUAUUUCACCUUUCAACUGUCUUGUUUGUACUAGUAUGAGCUACUUGCGUCUUAGGUUUACUAUCAUUCGUACCAAGAGGUUUUAUUAACGUAUUUCAUAUGCAUUUCAUGCAUUUAUACAUGCACAUUAAACCAUGACCAUAUGGCAUUACAUAUGCAUAUAUACAUAUAUNNNNNNNNNNNNNNNNNNNNNNNNNNNNNNNNNNNNNNNNNNNNNNNNNNNNNNNNNNNNNNNNNNNNNNNNNNNNNNNNNNNNNNNNNNNNNNNNNNNNNNNNNNNNNNAUAUAUGUAUGUAUAUGUAUGUAUAUGGGAAAGGUUAUGGCAUUAUAUACGCACCACCACCUGAUCAACUGGUAUGCAUUCAUGAUUUUGCCCACAGUGGCCGAGAUGAUAUGAUAGGAUGCCCUCAGAGAUUUGAUGAUGUUAUGAACACAUGUACCUAUGCACGACAUGACAUUCAUAUGUAUAUGCAUGACACUAUAAGUAUUACAUGAUUUACAGAGUUAUCCAGACUUACAAGUCGAGUCCUUUAUUCCAUGUUUCGCUCAUGUCUAUUGUCUAUUAUUUACUGAUUUUCAUUCCUUGCAUACUCGGUACAUUAUUUGUACUGACGUCCCUUUUGCCUAGGGACGCCGCGUUCAUGCUCGAAGGUUCCGAUAGACAGGUCGAGUCCUUCAAGUAGGCCAUCAGAUAAGCGAAAGAUGUUGGUGCGCUCCAUUUGCUCCGGAGUUGCUUAUUUUGUCAGUAUGAUAUAGACGUGUAUUGUUUGAUAUGGCGGGGCCCUGCCCCGACGUUUGUGAUAAGUAUGUACUCUUAGAGGCUUGUAGAUAGAUAUAAUGAAUACGAACACAUGUAUGGCCUUGCCGGCCUAUGUUUUGAGUUUACAAAUGAUCAUGUUGGCCUUAUAGGCCCGUAUGUCACAUGUAUAAGUUUUUAUGUCAGGUUGGGUCGUUCUAUAUUGACUAUUCCCUUAUUUUUAUUCUGGUUAGCCCAUGACAUCCCUCUUGACCCAUUUGCCAAUGAAAGUAUAAUAAGAAAUAUAUAUUAUUGUAUACGGUGAAAUCGGUGGGUCCAAUUUCUUGCUAUUAAGGCACUUGGGAAGAUCACAUCGAAGGAUCUAGACCACGGCCGAGUAUCCUCCCUCGAGGGUCGUCGACAGUCGACCUCGAGGCAGUAAUGAUUACGGUAAUGGUAGAAAUGGGGAGUUCCCAAGGUAACGGCUAGGACUGACAAAGCCUGGUGGACUACUCUAAACCCAAAUCAGGGCGUCAUCUAGAUGUCCCAUCCCUAAAUCUUUGUCAUUAAUGUAUUUUGUACUAUGUUGGGAUACCCCUCCUAUAUAAAGGGGAUCCUUGUCAUUUUGUAAACCCCUGUUGCUUCAGUUGCUCACACGAAAUAUAGAAGAACAUUUGCUUUGCUCUCUAACACAUUCUCUUGAUAUCAUUGCUUACAUUUAUUAUCUUUAUUAUUGUUCAUCAUUUAUCGCUUAUAAUUGGCCAUAAAUAGCCUUCAUUGGUUUUACUAUAACUGUUAGCCAUAUUUCGACCACCUUCGAUAGUUCACAGCUGAGCUCCGGAAUCGACCUUGAGGCCCCGAUUGUUAACCUAUCGGUUUGGUUAUCACCUUAUCCUUAACUCUCAUUUCGUUUCUAAGUCUCACGUACAUAGAUU